UCGGUCAAUAAGUGUCUGUCUCCUGUGAUGGAGACGGUGAGAUCCAGAAACGGUAGUUAGAUGUUGGAGAUGGUCCAAGUGAAUUUGAGUGCAGGAUGGAUAUUAGACGUGAAGUUGAUGAAGUCAGUGAGUUGCUGC